GAUGAACGCUGGCGGCGUGCUUAAUACAUGCAAGUCGAGCGAAGCACUUUAACGGAAUUCUUCGGAAGGAAGGUAAAGUGACUGAGCGGCGGACGGGUGAGUAACGCGUGGGUAACCUGCCUUAUACAGGGGGAUAACAGUUAGAAAUGGCUGCUAAUACCCCAUAUGAGCUUGGUUGAAAUACCAAUCUUGAAAGUUCCGGCGCCCUAAGAUGAGCCUGCACCUGAUUAGCUAGUUGGUGGUGUAAUGGACUACCAAGGCGAUGAUCAGUAGCUGGUUUGAGAGGAUGAUCAGCCACAAUGGGACUGAGACACGGCCCAU
rnacentral:rRNA from 1 species